rnacentral:rRNA from 1 species
UACAGAGGGGGCAAGCGUUGUUCGGAAUUACUGGGCGUAAAGGGCGCGUAGGCGGCCUUCUAAGUCGAACGUGAAAUCCCCGGGCUCAACCCGGGAACUGCGUCCGAUACUGGAAGGCUUGAAUCCGGGAGAGGGAUGUGGAAUUCCAGGUGUAGCGGUGAAAUGCGUAGAUAUCUGGAGGAACACCGGUGGCGAAGGCGACGUCCUGGACCGGUAUUGACGCUGAGGCGCGAAAUCCAGGGGAGCAAACGGG